rnacentral:lncRNA from 1 species
UUUGAGCGACACAACACUUACAACUCAAUGAACACCCUAUGCCAAAGCAAUCAUCAACGUGAUAAAGGCUUGGCUUACAAGAUAUGUCUAAUACAAGACUCACAAAAAUACAGCAGUGAAGUAUGAUGGACACACUAAAUCUUCACGCCUCAAAAUCCCCAGUUCUGAAUGAAGGAACGACUUCCUUUUAUAUUGCAGUACUUGGGCCUUUGCACUUGUAUUCUCCUGAAUUUAAGGUCACGCGAGUUCCCCUAAAUUCCACAUCUAG